rnacentral:rRNA from 1 species
UAGGGAAUCUUCGGCAAUGGACGGAAGUCUGAUCGAGCAACGCCGCGUGUGUGAAGAAGGUUUUCGGAUCGUAAAGCUCUGUUGGUAGAGAAGAACGUUGGUAGGAGUGGAAAAUCUACCAAGUGACGGUAACUAACCAUAAAGGGACGGCUAACUACUUGCCAGCAGCCCCGGUAAUACGUAGGUCCCGACCUUUGUCCGGAUUUAUUGGGCGUAAAGAGAGCUCAGUCGGUUCUUUAAGUCUGAAUUUAAAGGCAGUGGCUUAACCAUGGUACGCUUUGGAAACUGGAGGGCUUGAGUGCAGAAGAGGAGGGUGGAAUUCCAUGUGUAGCGGUGAAAUGCGUAGAUAUAUGGAGGAACACCGGUGGCGAAAGCGACUAUCUGGUCUGUAACUGACGCUGAGGUUCGAAAGCGUGGGGAGCAAACAGG